GUUUGAUCUUCGCAGUGGCCUGUGGCUAAGACUGAUAUUAAAGGAAGAAUUAAAAUCCUGAAUCAAUCAUGAACUUUAAAGAUGACUUCCAGAUUGUGUCAAUCAAGACCUAGCCUCCGGACAACAUACCUACAUAUUUGCCUAACUCGCUGGGAGUACCUCUUGGAUGUCUGCAACACACCUCAAAUUCAGCUCUUUCAAGAUUAAAUUUGUCUUUUUCUCUUAUAUUAAUGAUUCUAACAAAGUAAUUUCUAAGCAAAUGUGUAGUUCAGCAUUAGUUCCAUGGAAAACUGAAAAAUAAUGGCUUAGAUAAGGCCAUCUGGAAAGAGCACAAGUAAAAAUUUUGACUUACAGAAAAUACCUUAGUUUGACAUCUCAUCUGGAGAAUUUUUAUGCCAAACUCGUUAAUGAGUGCAACACUGCCAAGGUGUUUUGGAGCUUUGGUAGUUUAACACUUCACAAAUUUCAGUCCAAUUUCUUUAUAUGAAUUUUUAAAAAAAUGGAUCAUUGAAAUAAAUAUACUUGACAAUGACUUACUUAUUAGAAUAUGUAACAGACCCAGCACUUCGGGGGCCGAGGUGGGCGGAUCACCUAAGGUCAGGAGUUUGAGACCAGCCUGGCCAACAUGGUGAAACCUCGUCUGAACUAAAAAUACAAAAAUCAGCCAGACAUGGUGGCGGGCACCUAUAGUCCAAGCUACUUGGGAGGCUGAGGCAGGAGAAUCACUGGAACCCGGGAGGUGGAGGUUGCAGUGAGUUGAGAUCUCACCAUUGCACUCCAGCCUGGGUGACAAGAGCGAAACUUCAUCUCAAAGACAGAAAAAAAAACGUUGCAGAGACAAUCAACAUUAAAAAUUGAAAAAAUACUCUUUGGUGUUAAUUAAUUACUAUAGAAAAAUAAAAAAAUAGGGUAUAACGAUUGACUACAACACAAGUAAUGAGCACACUAAGUCUGAAUUUCAUUCUUAGAUGCCAUUAAUCUGAUUUCAUUAAAGUCAGUUUUAAUCUAAGCCCUAUGCUUCUUAAAAGGAAUUUGGUUGAAACAUUGUUCUGAUGUUAAUAAAGGAAAAAUAUUUUUUCUAGUUAUAAAUUAUUUAACAUAUUACUAUAUAAUUAAAUGUUAAUACAUUGCAUUUUCUAUAAAUUACAAUAUUCAUUCUUACCAAAUAAAAAUAAUAUAAACUGAUAAUUGGCAUUAUUUUCAUACACUCUUGAGAAUAUGAGCUAAUAGGAAAGAUGUGCCAAUGCUGUGUCUAUAUGAUGGAACUAUUUAGAGCAGGAAAAAAAUAUGUGAUCAGUCAAUUUUAUUCUCUAAAGGUUGUCCUUACUACAGCUUUUAAUUGUAACACUAUGUCAAUUUUUGCUUCCAGACUGUAAGUAAGAUGGACCAGUUAGCAACUUUGUGAUCAUAAAUGUAUAGCUAAUUUAAAAACAAACGUGAAAUAUUGAAAAUUAAAGUUUAUUUUGAGUCU
rnacentral:lncRNA from 1 species